GACAGCAGGCAGCCGUGUGCCCAGAUGU
rnacentral:piRNA from 1 species